GUGUCAGCAGCCGCGGUAAGACAGAGGGUGCAAACGUUGUUCGGAAUUACUGGGCAUAAAGCGCACGUAGGUGGUCCACUAAGUCGAGUGUGAAAUCCCCCGGCUCAACCGGGGAAUGGCGCUCGAUACUGGUGGGCUAGAGGUCGGUAGGGGUGAGCGGAACUCCAGGUGGAGCGGUGAAAUGCGUAGAUAUCUGGAGGAACACCGGUGGCGAAAGCGGCUCACUGGAUCGAAUCUGACACUGAGGUGCGAAAGCUAGGGUAGCAAACGGGAUUAGAUACCCGCGUAGUCC
rnacentral:rRNA from 1 species